AAAGCUAUAAGAGUUUGACGGUAUGAAAUGUCAUAGUAAAAGAUGUUCAGUAAAUUUUAUAAGAAUAGGUGGUAUGGCAUUGGAAACAUAAACCCGGCCCGUAAAAGGAUUUGGCUGAAUUUUAAAGAUACCGAAAUAACCGAAACAUUCACGGCUGCACCUUAAAGCAGUGGUUGAAACUUCACGCAAUUCCAUGCCAUUUUCUCUUUGCACUACUUGUGUAAAUCCUGUUUAUUUAAAGAAAAUUCAUUUACUGGGAAUGCUUUUCGUUACCAUCUCCAGUGUACAGCCCCCAUCCUGGUGACUCUCAUUGGCCAGCGAACAUUACAAGGAUUCCAGCGAAAAACAUCGCCGAUUACGUUACCACUUCCAGUUGUAGACUCUCGUAUUUGUAGACGAAAAGGUAAACGGCAGGAUUUAUUUCAAAUGCCAGACUGUCUGACGCUGCCGCUUUCGUUUCGCAUAUAUUGCUUUGGCUCUUCCUUACUGCGUUUGGUUAGUUUUUAUCUUCCUUGCUCCAGCCACCUUCACCCAAGACAAUGAUCGACCGAAAGCAUAAUCGACACGUCCUUUGCAGCUUGAACCCAUCUAUUUUACUUGCUGUCCAUUUGCCGUCUCUCGUCUCCGUCCUACAUCAAACGAGAUUGUCCUGGGACACAAUGGAUCCUUGGCAGUCUCUCGUCCUUGCGCACGCUGCGGUCCUUACGAUCAUCGAAAACCGCAUCGUGAAUGCAACAGGCCGACGGCAAAUUGAUCGGUCCGUUUUGGGUUGGUGCUUCUUUUUCUUUACAUUUAUUAUCCUUAAACGAUGCCCAGAGGAGCAGUGCGGCAACACUUACGCGAACGGUCGGUCCAGGCAGGGAAAAGCGACAUCAUUUCCACCGCGUUCCACCGGUGCUACCCACAAUGAGGCUGCGGUGUUGAAGUGGUUCGCACCUUUCAGUUUCAUAUCGGUGCCGGGGGUUUUUCAGAGCAAAGGUUUGUUGAGUUGUUCGUCUCGCUUGGACACACAUUAUAACGAUUGUUUUCCAACUGGCCAUAGCAUACCCUCCCCAUGUGUGCGGUGCGCCAUCCUUCAUAGCGAAGGAAUUGAGUUGUGCCCGCCAUUCGCCACGGAUUAUCUACGGUUGGUUCGUGAGGGAGUCAAAAUCCGUAGCUAAUGCAGCGUAGCGGCAAAGUUUCUCUCAUCUUUUGCCGGUAUCGGGGGAAAAUAGGGCGGUUUAAAAUGGCCCUUCAGAGCAGUGGACAUUCAUUCAUUCCAUUGAUCCGGCACUGAAAGAGGAAUCACAAAAAAAAAUCAACUCCUAAUCCGUGCCUCAGGGCAGGGGCGAUUGGAAGAACCAGCAAUGCAGGAGGAAUGUUACGGAAAGUGCAUUGAUUUGGGGAAUUUCAACGUCAAAACCAUUUCACACCUUUUCAGUGGCUGUCUCACUCUUGAUGGCGAAUGAAAUGAUCCGGAAUAGGAUUAACCAUUUUGGCAAACCAAACAAAAAUCUUAAUCCCUUCGUCGAUCUACCUACCGUCGGGGGAAAGAGUGUUGCUUGUGCAAAACUGAUCGAAACUUUGCACGUUGCCUGCCACGCACCCAAAAGUUUCAUUUUUGGUUACGGUUCAAUGGGAAUGGUUGUGAAAGGAGUUAUGCUAAUAUUUGUUUCAAUUUGUCCCUUACUCGUGCCAUGCUUGGUUUCGGAUGAAGUAAGAAAUUCAAUCGGUACCCAUGCUAGAAGCCACAAAGCACAUGGCGAUGAGAUCAAUUAACAUGUCACACAGGAGUUGAUUUGGGACGAAAUUCAUUCAUUGUUCGGUGCAAAAUAAUGUAUGAAUUAAAUGCGUCGCAUGGUGUAGAGCAGGAGUCUCCAAACUACGGUCCUUGAGAGCCUAUAAUGCGACUCGCGAUGAUUUUGCAAAGAAUAACAAAAAAUCUAUUAUUUUAAUAAUUUA